rnacentral:rRNA from 1 species
AAGACCUUGCGCUUUUGGAGCGGCCGAUGCCUGAUUAGCUUGUUGGUAAGGUAAAAGCUUACCAAGGCUUCGAUCAGUAGCUGGUCUGAGAGGACGGCCAGCCACACUGGGACUGAGACACGGCCCAGACUCCUACGGGAGGCAGCAGUGGGGAAUUUUGGACAAUGGGGGCAACCCUGAUCCAGCCAUGCCGCGUGAGUGAAGAAGGCCUUCGGGUUGUAAAGCUCUUUCAGCCGGAACGAAGCGGUUACGGUUAAUACCCGUGAUUACUGACGGUACCGGAAGAAGAAGCACCGGCUAACUACGUGCCAGCAGCCGCGGUAAUACGUAGGGUGCGAGCGUUAAUCGGAAUUACUGGGCGUAAAGCGUGCGCAGGUGGUUUUGUAAGUCAGAUGUGAAAGCCCCGGGCUCAACCUGGGAACU